rnacentral:rRNA from 1 species
AUUGAACGCUGGCGGCAUGCUUUACACAUGCAAGUCGAACGGCAGCGCGGGCUUCGGCCUGGCGGCGAGUGGCGAACGGGUGAGUAAUACAUCGGAACGUGCCCAGUAGUGGGGGAUAGCUCGGCGAAAGCGGGAUUAAUACCGCAUACGACCUGAGGGUGAAAGCGGGGGAUCUUCGAACCUCGCGCUAUUGGAGCGGCCGAUGGCAGAUUAGCUAGUUGGUGGGGUAAAGGCCUACCAAGGCGACGAUCUGUAGCUGGUCUGAGAGGACGACCAGCCACACUGGGACUGAGACACGGCCCAGACUCCUACGGGAGGCAGCAGUGGGGAAUUUUGGACAAUGGGCGAAAGCCUGAUCCAGCAAUGCCGCGUGUGUGAUGAAGGCCUUCGGGUUGUAAAGCACUUUUGGCGGGAACGAAAAGGACUGUGCCAAUACCACGGUUCGAUGACGGUACCCGCAGAAUAAGCACCGGCUAACUACGUG